GCCUAGCCCUGAUGGGAGCGGCAUCCUUUUGUGCCGUUGUUCGGCAUAAAAGAUACAGUGCACAGCAGGAAAAUGC
rnacentral:sRNA from 1 species